UACGUAGGGGGCAAGCGUUAUCCGGAUUUACUGGGUGUAAAGGGAGCGUAGACGGUUAUGCAAGUCAGAAGUGAAAGCCCAAAGCUCAACUUCGGGACUGCUUUUGAAACUGUGUAACUAGAGUGCAGGAGGGGUAAGCGGAAUUCGUGGUGUAGCGGUGAAAUGCUUAGAUAUCACGAAGAACUCCGAUUGCGAAGGCAGCCUGCUGGACUGUAACUGACGCUGAUGCUCGAAAGUGUGGGUAUCAAACAGG
rnacentral:rRNA from 1 species